GUGACCCCAGGUCAGGCGAGAUUACCCGCUAAGUUUAAGCAUAUCAAUAAGCGAAGGAAAAGAAACUUACUAGGAUUCCCCUAGUAAUGGCAAGUGAACUGGGAAGAGCCCAUCUUGAGAAUCGAGCACCCCCGGCAUCCGAAUCAUAGUCUAAACAAGCAUCCUCAAUGGGGGACCAAGCCCAAGUCCUCUGGAAAGGGGCACCGAAGAGGGUGAGAGCCCCAUUAUGCCCAGACUCUAUCACACCAUGAGGCACUGUCCGCGAGUUAGGUUAUUUGGGAAUGCAGCCCCGAUCAGGCAGUAAAUUUCAUCCAAGGCUGAAUACGGGUAAGAGAUCGAUAGCGAACAAGUACCGCGAGGGAAAGAUUAAAAGGACUUUGAAAAGAAAGUCAAAGAGUGCUUGAAAUUAUUGGAAUGAAAGCCGAUGAGGGCCAGUGAUGCGCUCCGAUCAUAUGUGAAACGGCAAGAGUCAAUCCAUCGAUCGACUUGGGGCGUAGACCAAUGCAGGUCACGACGGUGGCCCAAGCCCUAGCUUUCGAUGUGCCCACGGAGACAUCACCACCGCGAUCAUGGAAUAGAGCACACACUGUCUCGACGUACCUCAGCACCCGCGCGUGCUUUUGGAGUCAGCCUGUGGGCUCCUCAUCCAGCUUGUCUUGAAACACAGACUAAGGAUUCUGACAUGUGUACGAGUCAAUGGGCCAAGAAACCCUAAGGCACAAGGAAGCUGAUUGAUGGGAUCCCUUGCAGGUGCACCGUCGAUUGACCUUGAUCUUCUGAGAAAGGGUUCGAGUGCGAGCAUGCCUGUCGGGACUCGAAAGAUGGUGAACUAUGCCUGAGUGGGGUGAAGCCAGAGGAAACUCUGGUAGAGGCCCGUAGCGAUACUAACGUGUAAAUCAUUCGUCUGACUUGGGUAUAGGGGCAAAAGACUAAUCAAAUUAUGUAGUAGCUGGUUCCUUCCGAAGUUUCCCUCGAGAUAGUUGGAGCCCCUGGCGAGUUCUAUCGAGUAAAGCUAAUGAUUAAAGGCAUCAGGGGUGCAUUGCCCUUGACCUACUCUCAAACUUUAAAUAGGUAGGACGACGCGACUGCUUCAUUGAGCUACACCAUGAAAUCAAAAGCUACAAGUGGGCCAUUUUUGGUAAGCAAAAUUGGCGAUGCAGGAUGAACCGAAAGUCAGGUUACGAUACCCAACUACGUGCUAACCCAAAACCCAUAAAGGGUGUUGGUCAAUUAAGACAGUAGGACAGUGGUCAUGGAAGUCAAAAUCUGCUAAGGAGUGUGUAACAACUCACUUGCCGAAUCAAUUAGCCUAAAAAUGGAUGGCGUUUAAGCGCGUGACCUAUACUCGAUCAUCGGGGCAAGGGCCAGGCCCCGAUGAGUAAGAGGGUGUGGUAGUCACCAUAAAACUUGGGGCACGAGCCCAAGGGAAAGGCCAUCAGUGCAGAUCUUGGUGGUAGUAGCAAAUAUUCAAAUGAAAACUUUAAAAGUCGAAGAGGGGAAAGGUUCCAUGUGAAUGGCACUUGCAAAUGGGUUAGUCGAUCCUAAGAGAUAGGGAAAGUCCAUCCGACAGCGUGUCCUGUGCGAGCUUCGAAAAGGAAUCAGGUUAAAAUUCUUGAACCGGGAUGCAACGGCUGACGACAACAUUAGGGAGUCCGAAGACAUCAGCAAGAGCCUCGAGAAGAGUUAUAUUUUCUGUUUAACGGCCCGCCCACCCUGGAAAUGGCUCAAUCGGAGGUAGGGUCCAACGAUCGAAUGAGCACCGCACGUCGCGUGGUGUCAGGUGCACCCUCUGUGGCCUUGAAGAUCUAGAGGACCGAGUGCCAUCCACACCCAGUAGUACUCAUAACCACAUCAGGUCUCCAAGGUGAACAACCUCUAGUCGAUGGAACAAUGUAGGCAAGGGAAGUCGACAAAAUGGAUCUGUAACCUUGGGAAAAAGAUUGGCUUUGAGGGCUGGGCAUGGGGGUCUCAGUCUCGAACCCAUCGACUAUCAGUGCACUCCUCUAGCUACUCCCGUGGUGAGAACGGGUCACCACAUGCUGACCGAGGGAUGACUGGGAACGACUCCCUCGGGGGUCCCAGUUCUGAACCCAUCGACUACUGGUGCACUGCUCGAGCUACUCUCGCGAUGAGAGUGGGUUGCCGCGUGCUGAUCGAGGGAAGGACUGGGAAUAGCUCCCUCAGGGGCCUUCCUCGGGUGACAAACAGUUGAAUUAAAAUUGGUACGGACAAGGGGAAUCUGACUGUUUAAUUAAAAUAAAGCAUUGUGAUGGUCCCUACGGAUGCUGACACAACGUGAUUUCUACCCAGUGCUCUGAAUGUCAAAGUGAAAAAAUUCAACCAAGCACGAGUAAACGGCAAGAGUAACUAUGACUCUCUUCAGGUAGCCAAAUGCCUCGUUAUCUAAUUAGUGACACGCAUGAAUGGAUUAACGAGAUUCCCACUGUCCUUAUCUACUAACCAGCGAAGCCACAGCAAAAGGAACAGGCUUGGCAAAAUCAGUGGGAAAAAUAAACCCUAUUGAGCUUGACUCUAGUCUGACUUUAUGAAAUGACUUAAGAGGUGUAGGAUAAGUGGGAGCCCCCGGACGAAAUUGAAAUUCCACUACUUUUAACGUUAUUUUACUUAUUUCAUGAAUUAGAAGUGGGGCACAACCCCUUCUUUUGGACCCAAGGUCUGCCUCGACCGAUCGAUCUAGGUGGAAGACAUUGUUAAGUAGGGAGUUUGGCUGGGGUGGCACAUCUGUUAAAAGAUAAUGUAGGUGUCCUAAGAUGAGCUCAAUGAGAAUAGAAAUCUCAUGUGGAAUAAAAGGUAAAGCUCGUUUGAUUUUGAUUUCCAGUACGAAUAUGAAUUGUGAAAAUGUGGCCUAUCGAUCUUUUAGACCUUUGAGAUUUGAAGCUAGAGGUGUCAAAAAAGUUACCAUAGGGAUAACUGGCUUGUGGCCGCCAAGCGUUCAUAGCGACGUUGCUUUUUGAUCCUUCGAUGUCAGCUCUUCCUAUCAUUGUGAAGCAGAAUUCACCAAGUGUUGGAUUAUUCACUCAUCAAUAGGAAACAUGAACUGGGUUUAGACCAUCGUGAGAUAGGUUAGUUUUACCCUACUAAUGGCGGCGUCAUGACUGUAAUUCAACCUAGUACGAGAGGAACCAUUGAUUCGCAUAAUUGGUCAUCGUGCUUAGUUGAAAAGCCAGUGGUGUGAAGCUAUCGUGUGCUAGAUUAUGACUGAACACCUCUAAGUUGAAAUCCAAGCUAGAAGUGACGUGCACAACUGCCGCUCGAUUGCUGACCCACAGUAGGGGCCCAUGGCCCCCAAGGGCACGUGUCCUAGGUGUAGCCCCCGUGGUGGACGAGCCGCGUGGGCAUCCUUGGAGCUCAAUUACCACUGAGCAGCGGGUAGAAUCCUUUGCAGAUGAGUUAAAUAAGCAACAGGGUAUUGUACGUAGCAGAGUGGCGUUGCUACCAUGAUCCACUAAGAUUUAACCCU
rnacentral:rRNA from 1 species